AUCGAACGCUGGCGGCAGGCCUAACACAUGCAAGUCGAACGAGUGGAGGACGGGUGAGUAAUGUCUGGAAAAAUGCCUGAUGGAGGGGGAUAACUACUGGAAACGGUAGCUAAUACCGGAUACCAACAGAUGUGCCCAGAUGGGAUUAGCUGGUUGGUGGGGUACCGGCUCACCAGGGCGACGAUCCCUAGCUGGUCUGAGAGGAUGACCAGCCACCCGGGAACUGAGAGACGGUCCAGACUCCUACGGGAGGAAGCGGUGGAGAAUAUUGCACAAUGGGGGCAAGCCGGAUGUAGCCAUGCGGCGUGUAUGAAGAAGGCCUGCGGGUUGUAAAGUACGUUCAGCGGGGAGGCGUUACCCUCAGAAGAAGCCCCGGCUAACUACGUGCCAGCAGCCGCGGUAAUAC
rnacentral:rRNA from 1 species